rnacentral:rRNA from 1 species
UACGAAGGGAGCUAGCGUUGUUCGGAAUUACUGGGCGUAAAGGGCGCGUAGGCGGUUAUGUAAGUUAGAUGUGAAAUCCCCGGGCUUAACCUGGGAACUGCAUUUAAGACUAUAUAGCUUGAGGACGAGAGAGGAAAGUGGAAUUGUGAGUGUAGAGGUGAAAUUCGUAGAUAUUCACAAGAACACCAGUGGCGAAGGCGACUUUCUGGCUCGUAUCUGACGCUAAGGCGCGAAAGCGUGGGGAGCAAACAGG